AGACCCAGGCGCGGCGUUUUACCUGCAGCGGCUGUGCUCGCCCCGCCGCGACCCCCGCAGGACGGAGCCGGAUCCCCCUGCACUCGGGCGGACCUGGGACCCUCAGAGGCGAGCCGGCUGCCUCGGGUCACACAUCCGCGAACUCCGGGGGCGGGCUCCCCAGGACGCCGCCGACCCCCCACGACCCCCAGCCCUCCCGCUUCCGUGGAAAGCCGCCCCGACGACCCCUGUGCGGGCUGUUGAGGGGCCGCACCCCGCCGACCGCUGUGGGAACACCUCCGCGCGUGCGGCGGGGACGCGGCGAGUCCGGGGCAGGAAGAACGCACGGGUAAUUGCACCUUCGGCAGGUGUUGGGCGGGAGCAAGGGGGUCAGACUCGCGCUGCAGGGGGAGGGCGGGGGAGGCCUCGCUGUCCUGGAGGAAGGGGACAAAGACCCCUGCCCAGGAGCCUGGGAGCCUUUGAAAGUAAUGAUUUUUUGGCGGGGGGGGGUUGUCACGAGACACCCUAGACAUUUCUAAAAGGCCCCCUCCCCGCUGCCGGGUGGAGAGGGAGCGUGGGGGGAUCCGCCUUCUGCCCCCGAGCCCCCAGCCAGCCUGGGCCCCCCAGGGUCACCCUGGGGCUCUGAAGGGGGCUUCGGCCGCUGGUUGAAUGAAGGGCCACAGAAAAUGAAGCUGGCGCAACGACCGCAGAACCCUCAGUGGGCACCAGGACCACGGAGCUCAGGGUGCCAAUGAUGGAGACAACAGGAAGGAAAGAGACCUUCCUGGUCACACUUGGGCCACAGGAGAACAGGCAGCGGCCCAGGAGGAUCCAGGGUCCUGAUGGUGGUUGAGAAGCUGGUUCUUAGUGAUCACUCAGAAACGUCGGCCUGGCCUUGUGGGGUCAGACCUUGCAUCUCAGUCAGCCCAGGGAGAAGAAGAAGAUGGUCCACACCCAAGUGCAGGGAACAUCGUGGCAGUCGGCUGGGUGCCUGCGUCCAGGCGAGGACACCUCCCGCAUCAGGGAAACACACGUUUCUGGAGUGAGGAGGCUGAA
rnacentral:lncRNA from 1 species